rnacentral:tRNA from 1 species
GUAAAAUGGCCGAGAGUUUAGGUGGCGGCCUGUAAGUCCGUUUAUGGGAGUUUGAGUCUCCUUUU